GAUGAAGAACGUAGCGAAAUGCGAUACGUAAUGUGAAUUGCAGAAUUCAGUGAAUCAUCGAGUCUUUGAACGCACAUUGCGCCCCCUGGUAUUCCGGGGGGCAUGCCUGUCCGAGCGUCAUUGCUGCCCUCAAGCACGGCUUGUGUGUUGGGCCUCCGUCCUCCUCCCGGGGGACGGGCCCGAAAGGCAGCGGCGGCACCGCGUCCGGUCCUCGAGCGUAUGGGGCUUCGUCACCCGCUCUUGUAGGCCCGGCCGGCGCUUGCCGACACAUCAAUCUUUUUUCCAGGUUGACCUCGGAUCAGGUAGGGAUACCCGCUGAACUUAAGCAUAUCAAAUAAGCGGAGGA
rnacentral:misc_RNA from 1 species